rnacentral:lncRNA from 1 species
GUGUAUACGUGCGAAAAGAAUAAUUAUAAGGGCAUACAAACAAAUAGUAAAUUUGCAAUGGUAUACAUGCAAUUUCAGAUAUUUAUGAAAGUAUACAUGCAUAAAACCCUUUUCUAUUUCAUAUAAUUUAACCAUCUUAGCCCCACUCUCUACCAAUUGAACAUUCCUGACUUCAAUACGAGUUAUAUUUCUUAAACUAAUUAUCACGUAUGAAGCUUUGCUGACAAAACUUGUGAUGCACUGUGUGGUUAUCCACUUGAAUUUUAAGCUGUUACUUUUAUGCCAUAAUUUUGUGAUACCUUACCAUAACUUUUAAAACAAAAUUUUCUAUAGCUUUAUUAUUAUAUGAGCUGCCAAAUUUCUCUUUCUGUCCUUAUUAAGACAAAAAUGAGUCAUCGACCUAAUCUCUCUUUACCAUAGGCUUUUAGGUCCUUCAUUCUCUUGUUUGGUGCAUUGUUUGAUGGGUCCCUAUAGAGAGACUGUCCCAAUGCUGAUCAAUGACGCAGUCAUAUUACAACUGUUUUGCCUUUUUAUAUUAGACCAUUGUUCACAAGUGAAAAAUGGAGCCAACUCAGACCACCUCUCAAACACCAAAUGCACACUCUUAUAUAAAAUACUGCUUCUACUGCAACAAAACUUCUCAAAUCUAGAUGAUUAUAGAACCACCUUUGCUCUCUCAGCCAUUAGAUAGGAUACGGAAUGUGGAUUUCAUUCAUCAAUGUGACUUGUUUGGGACUCCAUGUUCGUGGAGUAAUAUCAUGGGACCCUUGCAUUAAUCUCUACAUUGAAGGAACUUGUUCUCAAGGUAUCAAGUCAGACCCACUGAAGAAGAUAUCCACACAAGCUGUUAAGCCAUGAUGACAUAUGAAUUGUUAUCAAUCUUGUUUAGAAUUUUGAAAGCUCUGAUCAUCUUUUGCUUGUAUCUUUUUUUUUGUGUGUGUGUUCCAUUAAGAUCCUCACACUUCUAAGGUAUACCACAACCAAUGCACCUAUCUCAAACACA